rnacentral:rRNA from 1 species
AUUGAACGCUGGCGGCAGGCCUAACACAUGCAAGUCGAGCGAGAGGCGGACGGGUGAGUAAUGUAUGGGGAUAUGCCCGAUAGAGGGGGAUAACUACUGGAAACGGUGGCUAAUACCGCAUACUAUCGGAUGCACCCAUAUGGGAUUAGCUAGUAGGUGGGGUAAAGGCUCACCUAGGCGACGAUCGCUAGCUGGUCUGAGAGGAUGACAAGCCAGACUGGGACUGAGAGACGGCCCAGACGCCUACGAGAGGCAGCAGUGGGGAAUAUUGAAACAGGGGCACAAGCCUGAUGAAGCCAUGCCGCGGGUAGGAAGAAGGCCUUGGGGUUGUAAAGUACGUUCAGCGGGGAGGCGUUACCCGGAGAAGAAGCACCGGCUAACUCCGUGCCAGCAGCCGCGGUAAUAC